rnacentral:lncRNA from 1 species
AAAUGGAACGCUUUCUGAUGACCCUUUUCCUUCCACAGGUAGCAUUCAGCCUAUCAUGUCCUCAAGUAAUCUGCCAUAGCAUUUAUUUCCUGCAACCAGGCUUCUAUUGGUCCUGUGCCCAGUGCUUUGCCAGCCUAAGGAGGGAUGAGGUCCCAGUUGUGUGUGAGUGGAGGAGCCUGCUCCUGCCUUUGUCUGAGUCUGAUCACCACAACAACUGCCAUAACCCAGAAAAGCUCACUGGUUUGGACUCUUCAUUUGUGUGUGGUGACUCAUCUCCACAAGGAGGCCUUGCGGCUCUUUGCCGACGUGCUCCACGGUCACCCAGAUCUCCAUCCUCACUCUGUUGUAUUCACAAUGGCUCCCUAAUGCCAUGGCAGGCCCCUCAGCCUGGUCGUUUUCAGGAGCGAGAGGUACUUACCCCUACACAUGCAUUCCUCCUUCUCACACCCACCUGGCUGUCCUCUCUGGAGCUUUCUCAUUGCCAAGUCCUGUCCUCAAAUCUUGGGGUUCAUCUUUACUUGGAAAGUACAUCAUGUUCAUUAUUAUCCAGCUAAUCCUCCAAGCCUGUAUUCACACUUGCAUCUCAAGGAAAUUUGGCAGCACAGUGCCUCCCACCCUCUCCCAGCUGCCCUCUGACCACAGUCACCUCUGUACCAAGCCGUGUGCUUACUUGGGCUGGGGGUUGCAUUUAUUCUUCUUUCUGUCCAUCACAGAUUCUAGCUCGGUGCCUGUCCCAUAGCAGGUACUCAGCACACCGUGGCUGGGUGCAAGAAAGAGGAGGGGCUGGGCCAGACACUGCAGAGGGGCCACCUAAAAGCAUCUCCCAGACUUCUCGCCUAGAAUUCUUCUACCGGUGUGGACACAAAACCUCGAUUUCUCAGCUUCUCUUGCAGCUAAUGAGAAAGUUCUGGCCAAUAAGCUGUAAGUGCAGGUCUUCAAGGAACACUUUCUUUCCAGAAUAAGAGGUAAACUUCUCUAAGAGAACACCUUGGACGCCUUUGCCAUCCCCCUUCUUCCCACCUGGAAUGCAGACAUGAUGCUGGAAGGUACAACAGCUAUCUUGCAACCACGAGGCAGCAAGCCACACUCAGACUGGUCCAGGGAGAAAGAAUAAAGUACCUUGGUUCCUGAUGGUGAACUGAUGACCAUUACUGCUAGGCUGACUGACCGUGUGGAGGUUUCCCAAGAUGCUAAAAGAAAAAUCGUCCUGGGCAAAUCUGGUUAUUGGUCACCCUACCCAGCCCUGGACUUACUGACUCAAGAAACAUGUCAUACAGGGAGAAAAAUAAGCCCACCUUUAUCACAGCCAUCUAGUCAGGUUUAUUCAUUAUUCAUAGUCAAAAGAAUUCCUGCACAUGGAAGUUGAUAUUUCUAAGAUUCAACAAAACAAACCCAUAGAGAGGUGUAGGUCACAGGGGCCAGCUGCCUUUUCACAGGUUAACCCGGGUGAGUCCAAUAAUGAUUCUUUAUAAAAGUUUCAUUAUACUAAUUUCACAGGUGAAAAUAAUUGAGGCACCAAGACGGUUAGCCCAACUAGAAUCUAAAGCCCAUACAUUUUAUGCCAUGCCCUCUCCCUUUGCAAAGCCACUCUGACUCAUGUACUUUUAGUGUAAUAUGUGAUCAUCUAAUGUUAUCCUAGGCAUGGGCCUCAUGCUUUUCUAUUGAGUAAAGUUAAUGUGAGACACAAUUAUGAUUUUUCUAUGAUUUUUUGAUGCCAAAAAAUCCUAGUGAUCUGACUUGUCUUUAUAAGAUU